rnacentral:other from 1 species
CAAGGGCUGCGGCGUUCGAGGAAGCCAGCUGUCCGCCGACCUUACGUUCCGUCAAGGGAGCUGGCGCUGGGACUGGCCGUGGCCUAUCCUAACCGGCACCCACCUAGUUACUAGGUCGACGGGACACGAGCGCCGAGACGGCGCAUGCGGUCCUUGU